rnacentral:rRNA from 1 species
CCUACGGGAGGCAGCAGUGAGGAAUAUUGGUCAAUGGGCGGAAGCCUGAACCAGCCAAGUCGCGUGAGGGAAUAAGGCCCUACGGGUCGUAAACCUCUUUUGCCGGGGAGCAAGGUCGGGGACGUGUCCCGGCCCGUAGAGUACCCGGAGAAAAAGCAUCGGCUAACUCCGUGCCAGCAGCCGCGGUAAUACGGAGGGGGCAAGCGUUAGCCGGAUUUACGGGGUGGAAAGGGGGCGCAGACGGCAGCGCAAGCCAGGAGUGAAAGCCCGGGGCCCAACCCCGGGACUGCUCUGGAAACUGUAAAGCUGGAGUGCGGGAGGGGCAGGCGGAAUUCCUGGUGUAGCGGUGAAAUGCGUAGAUAUCAGGAGGAACACCGGCGGCGAAGGCGGCCUGCUGGACCGUAACUGACGUUGAGGCUCGAAAGCGUGGGGAGCAAACAGGAUUAGAUACCCGAGUAGUC